GCCACGGUCUGAGGCCCUAGCACGAAUAACUUGCGAAAAUGUAUUCGUAACGUUAUCGAAUUAAAUUUGUAUGAAAUUUGUACAGCGCCCCUAUCGUACGUAAAAGGAACUAAUUUUGCUAGCACGAACAAAUUUCGUAUCGAAAUCGUAUCGUCACGUAAACGAUACUUGAACCUUAUAAACAAUCAAACGCUAUAAUUGCGAGCACGAACACUGUUUUGACGUACGGUAAUGUAAAUUUCGAAGGCUGGGUAUCGAGUAUUGUCGAAACUUUAUUCACUUAAAAUUUGUUGGUGAGAAAGGUUUCGUAACGUGUUUAAAUAUAAUUUUAUCCAUGUUUUUAUUUUUUAAGUAAAUUUUUAUAAAUAAUAGUGUUUUCUUAUCACUUUAGUUAGUUCUUAUAUACAAUUAAUUUUAAUAAAUUGCUCAAAAUGCAAAGAUCACCGUUGUACGAGCGUAGUCCUUUAUAUUAUUUUGUUGCUGCAAGUUUACUGUAAAUGAAGAAUAUUCAUCAAGAGAAGUUAGAGAAAUUACACGCAGAGUUGCUCUGAGAAAGAAAAAUAAUCCUGUGGACAUAAAUGACGCGGAAUUCAAAAAUAGAUACCGGUUGAAUAAAGAAUCAUUUAAGUUUCUUUUUAAUCAACUUGAGCAAAAAACAUCUUUAAAAGCAAGUUCCAGGAUAAGUUUGGAACUUAAGGUUCUUUGCGCGCUAUCUUUUUAUGCCACUGGAUCUUACCAACGCUUAGUGGGAAUGGCUAAAUAUUUGGGCCAAACGACUGUAAGCAAAUGUGUGAAGGAAGUAACAGAUGCUCUUGUAACUCCUGCAAUUUUAAAUACUUUCAUAAAAUUUCCUUAUGCCAGAGCUGAUAGAGAUGUAAUAAGAAACAAGUGAUUCUACAUAUUUUCCAAGAGAAUACUACAGGAGAUGGGUUAAUUAGGGGUAGUGCUAUAAGAAGUAUUUUAGUGGAUAAAAUUAAUAGACUUCAUACAUAAUUUUACUUUUGUUUAUUAAAGUUGUAAAAAAUAUAGUGAUUGGUAAAAUAAAAUAAAAUAAUUAAGUAAUUGGUAAAAAAAAUAUAGUAAUUAAGCUUAA